rnacentral:rRNA from 1 species
UACGGGGGGUGCGAGCGUUGUCCGGAAUCACUGGGCGUAAAGGGCGCGUAGGUGGCGUGAUAAGGGGGUGGUGAAAGCCCGGGGCUCAACCCCGGGUCUGCCAUGCCGACUGUCAGGCUGGAGUACUGUAGGGGCAGGCGGAAUUCCGGGUGUAGCGGUGGAAUGCGUAGAGAUCCGGAGGAAGACCGGUGGCGAAGGCGGCCUGCUGGGCAGUUACUGACACUGAUGCGCGGCAGCGUGGGGAGCAAACAGG